rnacentral:rRNA from 1 species
UACGUAGGGUGCAAGCGUUUGUCCGGAAUUAUUGGGCGUAAAGAGCUCGUAGGCGGUUUGUCGCGUCUGCUGUGAAAUCUGGGGGGCUCAACCCCCCAGCCUGCAGUGGGUACGGGCAGACUAGAGUGCGGUAGGGGGAGAUUGGAAUUCCUGGUGUAGCGGUGGAAUGCGCAGAUAUCAGGAGGAACACCGAUGGCGAAGGCAGAUCUCUGGGCCGUAACUGACGCUGAGGAGCGAAAGCAUGGGGAGCGAACAGG